rnacentral:tRNA from 1 species
AAGAAGUUAGUUUAAAUAAAACAUAAUCUUGUCAAGAUUAAAAUAUUAAUAACUAAUACCUCUUA